GACGAACGCUGGCGGCGUGCUUAACACAUGCAAGUCGAACGGAAAGGCCCUGCUUGCAGGGUACUCGAGUGGCGAACGGGUGAGUAACACGUGGGUGAUCUGCCCUGCACUUCGGGAUAAGCCUGGGAAACUGGGUCUAAUACCGGAUAGGAGCCAUUUUUAGUGUGAUGGUUGGAAAGUUUUUUCGGUGUAGGAUGAGCUCGCGGCCUAUCAGCUUGUUGGUGGGGUAAUGGCCUACCAAGGCGGCGACGGGUAGCCGGCCUGAGAGGGUGGACGGCCAAAUUGGGACUGAGAUACGGCAGAGACUCCUACGGGAGGCAGCAGUGGGGAAUAUUGCACAAUGGGAGCAAGCCUGAUGCAGCGACGCCGCGUGGGGGAUGACGGCCUUCGGGUUGUAAACUCCUAUCGCUAGGGACGAAGCUUUUUGUGACGGUACCUAGAUAAGAAGCACCGGCUAACUACGUG
rnacentral:rRNA from 1 species